UCCGAUAUGGUGUAGUGGCUAACAUUAUCGCCUCUCAUGUUGAUGAACGCGAUAGCCCGGGGUUCGAUUCCCCGUGUCGGAA
rnacentral:tRNA from 1 species